GACGGGUGAGUAACANGUGGGCAACCUGCCCUUGAGACGGGGAUAACUCCGGGAAACCGGAGCUAAUACCGGAUAACACAUAUCUUCGCAUGAGGAUAUGUUAGAAGGUGGCUUUUANCUACCACUCAAGGAUGGGCCCGCGGCGCAUUAGCUAGUUGGUGAGGUAACGGCUCACCAAGGCGACGAUGCGUANCCNACCUGAGAGGGUGAUCGGCCACACUGGGACUGANACACGGCCCAGACUCCUACGGGAGGCANCANUAGGGAAUCUUCCGCAAUGGACGAAAGUCUGACGGANCAACGCCGCGUGAGUGAUGAAGGUUUUCGGAUCGUAAAGCUCUGUUGUUAGGGAAGAACAAGUACCUGUUGAAUAANCAGGUACCUUGACNGUACCUAACCAGAAAGCCACGGCUAACUACGUGCCANCAGCCGCGGUAAUACGUAGGUGGCAAGCGUUGUCCGGAAUUAUUGGGCGUAAAGCGCGCGCAGGCGGUUCCUUAAGUCUGAUGUGAAAGCCCACGGCUCANCCGUGGAGGGNCAUUGGAAACUGGGGAACUUGAGUGCANAAGAGGAGAGCGNAAUUCCACGUGUAGCGGUGAAAUGCGUAGAGAUG
rnacentral:rRNA from 1 species